GCCAAAGUAGCACAGAGGCAGUGCAACUGAUUCGUAAUCAGUAGGUCGGGAGUUCAAUUCUCCCCUUUGGCACCA
rnacentral:tRNA from 1 species